UGCCCAAUCUGAUGGGGUGCAUCUCUAGAGGCCCAGCAGUAUGAGUGAAGAAGCCCUUGAGCCCUGCUGUAAGUUGGUCUCGUGAGUAAAGCCACAAUCGUCACUUCCGUGAAUUGACGGUCAUCACCGUAAGAGAAAAGAUGAAAGGAUCGAGAAGCUGAAACACUUAGGUUAGGAAAGCCAAAGUUGCAUGCAUAUGCUCGAUUCUUCAGGGUUCUCUUCCCUCAGAGAAGAUAUCCUAUUAGUUAUUGUACGCUCAAUUAAAGAGAGGAGAAUAUCUGGUGAUCUGAAUGAACCGCGAUGAAGACGGUGAUUUCGUUCCCUCCAAGUCUCAUAGAUGACUGCUUGCCAAGCAAUACGAGCCAAGAACUGGUGUUGGGUUGAGCCUGAGAUGGUGGAGAUGGCGUUAAGAGUAUCAUCCCAAGAAUGAGAAGGUAGAGAUAACUGGAGUUUAGACGAGAGAGGCACCCAUAUUGAGAAAGUGAAGCCGCAAUAGAAGAAGAUGUAGUUCCGAGAUUCCGGGUAGUUGUUGCAUAAAAGGCAAGAAGCAUCUGUAUGGAGACCCCACGACAGAAGACGAUCAAGAGUCGGACAGCUGUUAAGGACAAACAGCCAAGAGAGAAUUUUAUGUUUUGAGUUCCAAGUUGGGAGAUCGGUGAAGUCCGUUAAGGUGAUUGUCGACAUGUGAAUCUGGAUUUGUUCCAGUGCCACAGAACGAGCCGGGGCAAUUGUCCAGGAAGACCCAGUCCAAAUAGAUGCUAAGGUCGCAGAUAAGGGGAUACCAGAUAACCUUGGAGCAUUAGCACCAACGAACUUGAUAAGAGGACCAAAGGGAGACCAAGGGGAGUACCAGAAUCUGAUGGAGGAGCCAUCCCCUGGCUUAAUCUGUAACCAUUGAGUUGCUUCACGCCUCAGUCUUAAGAGCUUUUUGAAAAGCCAAGUGCCAAGCAAAAGCUAAAAAAAACUCAGCUUCUUCCUCAUGUUACUUCACCGCCGCCGUUGAUCACCGUGUAAUCAAUCUAUACACAAACAAUUACGUCCUCUUUUCUUCCUCUGCUCACACUUCGCUUCAUCACCACGACGAAUCUCUCUCUGCAGUGAAGAAGACCUUCGAACGAAAACCGGACUAGACCUAAGGUUAUAACCAGUGUUGAUCUCUCAGUCUUCAAUAAGUGCGAAAAGCUGCCAAUGAGUAUAUGAGGAGCUUGACAUCGCAAUACUAGGCAGCUUUGAGCUUUUAGUCAGGACAGAGAGAAUGACGAAGAAUACUUUGAUGCUGAUGGGAACUUUGUAGAUUUUGUUAGAGACAAGGAAGUCAAGGAUGUUGUGCUGAGAAGCAUGAAGAUAGUGGGACCGUAAAGCCAUCAGGUGAACUUUCUCAAGAAGAUAUUGGAGUCAUAAAGAUGCGUAUUUCUAAACUCUUUGAACCUGUAGAAAAGGCGAGUCAUUUAGGGUCGUAACAGGUCCUUCUAGCUUUAAGGAGAUUGAAAGGGAGCUGGAAUAGGAUAAGAUGACAUUUGAGACAAAGCUUAUCAUUAGCUUUGCUAAAUCCAGAAUGGUGACUUCAGUUAAGUUUCAUAUUGAUUUUGCUAUAUCAAAAGCUUUGCUAAAAUGAAAAUGGUGCCCUGUUAUCAUUAGUUUUACUUUCCAUGUAUUCAAGAUAUUUAUCACGAAGAGCAAGAAUUUUUUCCAGCGCGAAGCUGGUUAGAGCUAUUAAUGCUUUCUAAAUCUCAUGAUAUUUCUUUACUCACAAAUCUAGGGAACAAUGGAUUUUGCUUCACUUUUUUUUUUCUCUACUGUGGUCUUGAUAGAUGAAUAUGCAGAGACAGCGAUGAAGAAAAUACUACUGGAGCUGAAGCCUUGCAAUCUGAUUAUGUAUUUGACAAAACUUCAGGUUUAUGACGACCGAUUACCACUGUCUGGUCGAUGCUCUCUUACAUUUGAACUUAAUUGUUUCAAAGGAAUUCUUCCACAGAGCUGUACAUUUCCCUACACAAAAUUUUGCUUGCACACGCUUCUGCGACAAACUUAUGCAAGAAAUCCCAGGUUCUUCUUCUCAUUCCGUCUUCCAUAUGCACUACUGUCUUUAGUUAAGACAGUAACUCCAUUUAAUUACACAGCACAAGCAACAGGGAUUGGUAGGCAUUAGCAUAUACAUAUACGAUGCUUUGACUGAUGUCCCCCUAACUAACUCCAGAAGUUAAGCAGGCAACAGCCAGAUUCAAUGACUUCUUUAUUGGAUGUUUGGGUCUUUUUGUAAGGGACUUACAGGUUUGGCGAGAAUCCUGAAACGAUGAAGACCAUAGUUGGGUCUAAGAUUACUCGCUUUUACAGAGGAUGAGUCGGAUCAAGAUAAAUUACAUGACACUUUACGUCUAGGAUAAGUCUUCUCUCUGAAACAAAAUCUCCAUGAUUUCAACAUAGACAUGGCUGUGGAACUGACCCCGUUUGGAAACACAUCUUCAAGAAUGAGUAUGCAAAUACACAAUGGAGUCAGUACUGUUGUAUACCAAAGAACACUACGGCAUAUUAAGUAUCUGAGGACACGACUAGAACUAAGUAUCUGAGCUCACACAUUGAAGCAUUGCUUCAAUCACUCAGGUAACUUCUACAGUAGAGCGUAGCGCAAGUUCUAUGAAAGUGUGAGACACUAAGAUUCAAUAUCCCAAAGAAAGAAA